rnacentral:rRNA from 1 species
GAUGAACGCUGGCGGCGUGCCUAAUACAUGCAAGUCGAGCGAACAGACGAGGAGCUUGCUCCUCUGACGUUAGCGGCGGACGGGUGAGUAACACGUGGAUAACCUACCUAUAAGACUGGGAUAACUUCGGGAAACCGGAGCUAAUACCGGAUAAUAUAUUGAACCGCAUGGUUCAAUAGUGAAAGACGGUUUUGCUGUCACUUAUAGAUGGAUCCGCGCCGCAUUAGCUAGUUGGUAAGGUAACGGCUUACCAAGGCAACGAUGCGUAGCCGACCUGAGAGGGUGAUCGGCCACACUGGAACUGAGACACGGUCCAGACUCCUACGGGAGGCAGCAGUAGGGAAUCUUCCGCAAUGGGCGAAAGCCUGACGGAGCAACCCCGCGUGAGUGAUGAAGGUCUUCGGAUCGUAAAACUCUGUUAUUAGGGAAGAACAAAUGUGUAAGUAACUAUGCACGUCUUGACGGUACCUAAUCAGAAAGCCACGGCUAACUACGUG